UUGCUCUUUCGUAACAAGAGCUUUUGAGUACUAACAUGAAAGAUUGAUAACAUGCUUCAAAUUGGAUUCAUUGUUACCUAACAAUGUACUCUGCGUUUAUACCA